GGAGGCGGAUCGGUCCUGGUGGGCCGCCUGGACUUCAAAUCCAGUCGAGCGGUAGUGAUCCUGCCGUUGGUGUGUUCGAUUCGCACACGCCUCCGCCA
rnacentral:tRNA from 1 species